GACGAACGCUGGCGGCGUGCUUAACACAUGCAAGUCGAACGGUAAGGCCCUUCGGGGUACACGAGUGGCGAACGGGUGAGUAACACGUGGGUGAUCUGCCCUGCACUUCGGGAUAAGCCUGGGAAACUGGGUCUAAUACCGGAUAGGACUCCUGGCUUCAUGGUUGGGGAUGGAAAGCUUUUGCGGUGUGGGAUGGGCCCGCGGCCAAUCAGCUUGUUGGUGGAGUGAUGGCCUACCAAGGCGACGACGGGUAGCCGGCCUGAGAGGGUGACCGGCCACACUGGGACUGAGAUACGGCCCAGACUCCUACGGGAGGCAGCAGUGGGGAAUAUUGCACAAUGGGCGCAAGCCUGAUGCAGCGACGCCGCGUGAGGGAUGACGGCCUUCGGGUUGUAAACCUCUUUCAGCACCGACGAAGCGCAAGUGACGGUAGGUGCAGAAGAAGGACCGGCCAACUACGUGCCAGCCGCCGCAGUAA
rnacentral:rRNA from 1 species